AACGCACAUUGCGCCCGCCAGUAUUCUGGCGGGCAUGCCUGUCUGAGCGUCAUUUCGACCCUCGCGCCCCGCGGACGUGCAAGUCCGCCGGGGGGCGGUGUUGGAGGCCGGCCCACCACACCCGGUGGGCCGCCCCCGAAAUGCAGUGGCGACCGCGCCGUGGCAGACCCCUGCGUAGUACACCAACUCGCGGGAAGGCGCCCGGGACGGCCCGCCGUAAAACCCCCAACCCAUCACAAGGUUGACCUCAGAUCAGGUAGGAAUACCCGCUGAACUUAA
rnacentral:misc_RNA from 1 species